GACGAACGCUGGCGGCGUGCUUAACACAUGCAAGUCGAACGGAAAGGCCCUGCUUUUGUGGGGUGCUCGAGUGGCGAACGGGUGAGUAACACGUGAGUAACCUGCCCUUGACUUUGGGAUAACUUCAGGAAACUGGGGCUAAUACCGGAUAGGAGCUCCUGCUGCAUGGUGGGGGUUGGAAAGUUUCGGCGGUUGGGGAUGGACUCGCGGCUUAUCAGCUUGUUGGUGGGGUAGUGGCUUACCAAGGCUUUGACGGGUAGCCGGCCUGAGAGGGUGACCGGCCACAUUGGGACUGAGAUACGGCCCAGACUCCUACGGGGGGGAGCAGUGGGGAAUAUUGCACAAUGGGCGGAAGCCUGAUGCAGCAACGCCGCGUGCGGGAUAACGGCCUUCGGGUUGUAAACCGCUUUCGCCUGUGACGAAGCGUGAGUGACGGUAAUGGGUAAAGAAGCACCGGCUAACUACGU
rnacentral:rRNA from 1 species